UAUCAGCACUAUCUGGGACAUAGCAAGCUAAUACCCAGUUGGGAGGGAAACUAGGCUCUGGCAGACUUCUGGAUGGUACUGCAAUAACUUUGCUGAACGUCAUAGUAACCUAUCCAUUGUCAUGCUAACAACUUCAGGAAAAGAACCUAGCAAUGUAUUGAAGACUUCUAAUAGGAUUGGCUGAUCUCAAACCAAACCAGGAGAAAGAAUGAACAGUGAUACUAAUGAAAGAAGAUCCUGCUAGGACCCAGACCUACACAGAGAAACACACACAUAGAACAAAAAGGAAUAUGGAGAUCGCCAGACUCAGGCCACUAACUAAAUGUUGAGUACUGCUAACUUCCACCUCCCUCGCCCAUCCGCAAAAAUAUUAAGUGUGUCGGGCCACACACCAUUGCCACCAGACACUCACGGCCUGGGAGGGCAUACGGAUGGGGGGACUAGCACUUGCCAUUGGAUGCCAUUAUGACAAACCAGAAAGGCACAUGGGAUCAAAUAUACCAAACAGCAUUGUCCUACCUUAUCAAGCAGAACAGAGCCGAAGAUCCCAGGAUAUGAGGUAAUGUGCAGGGGAAAAGAUCUCAUGGACCAAAAAACCCCAGUCCCUAGGUGCCAUUUCCGGUCACCUAAUGCUUUCCCAAGGCUAAAAAGCAAAAAUGUUGCUUCCAAUGGAGCAAGGAAAGCAGAAGGAAAAAAA